rnacentral:rRNA from 1 species
AAUCAACGCUGGCGGCGUGCCUCAGACAUGCAAGUCGAACGCGAAAGUUUCCUUCGGGAGAUGAGUAGAGUGGCGCACGGGUGAGUAACACGUGAGUAAUUUACCUUCGGGUGGGGAAUACUAACCGGAAACGGUUGUUAAUACCGCAUAAUGCAGCGGCAUCAAUGAUGACAGUUGUUAAAGCGGGGGAUUGGAGCAAUCCGACCUCGCGCCUGAAGAGAAGCNCGCGGCAGAUUAGCUAGUUGGUAAGGUAAUGGCUUACCAAGGCGACGAUCUGUAACCGGCCUGAGAGGGCGGUCGGUCACACUGACACUGAAUAACGGGUCAGACUCCUACGGGAGGCAGCAGUCGGGAAUUUUGGGCAAUGGGCGCAAGCCUGACCCAGCAACGCCGCGUGAAGGAUGAAG